UGGAAUCAGAAGGGGAAAGAAGAGCCAGGCAAGAGGACUAGGUGGAAAAUACCAUAAUUGUCCAUCAUGGAGAUGAUAAAUACCCUAGUAAAGGGGCAGAUAAAGUAUCACUAGAGUUCAGGGGAAGAAGAUAUAACUCCUAGCUGUGGAAAUCGAGAAGACCUUGGAAGACGUGACUUUUGAGCAGAGAAUAUGUAAAAGUCUCCUCCAGUCUGUGACGGUUCCUCAAGCUCUCUUUUCACUUAUAACCCAGACACUGAAGAGUGCUGGGAUCUCAGCUCUGUCAUCACCGCCACCUGUUGUCAUGUCUCCAUUUCCAUCCUGUGUGCAUUCAUGCCUCCCUGCUUCUAUCUGCCCUCACUGGACUGACUCCCUCAUCCUACUUGCCAAGCCUUGCUUGUAAUGUCAUUUAGUAAGUUUUGGAGACCUAAGAUCCGACCAUAAUUAUCUCCUGAGAGACACCUUCUCUGACCUCCCAGGAUUAUCCAUUCGAAACACAUCUUGAAAAAUGAUUUCAAGUAGGCCCCCAGGACAUUCUCCCAUGGUCAUGCGGCCCCUCCUUCACGAGCUCACCCAAAUCUGUGAUAAUAACUUUAUAUGGUGCUCUGUCUGCCGAGUCUGUCUCCCCAUCCAGACUGUCAGCUCCACGAGACCUGCCAAGUUGCAGCAUAUGCUCUUGAACCUCUGGCUGGUUGGCUGCAAGGAGAGGCUCAGAGACGGCUUACAUGGGGAAAAAGGAGGGGAAGCCACUUCUUACCCAUCUUGGACCUUUCCUCUGUGCGACAGACAUUUGCAGAAUGCCCGGACCACACACCCAACAGGGUCUGCUCUGGCUCUGGCCUUUCCCCAGCUGGAGCCCCUUGGCUCCAGACCCUCUCGCCUUGCCCCUUUCUCAGUGAUGGGAUGAUCCUAAGGGUGCAUUGGGAAGGGGAUGUAUUUCACAGGGCCAAGCUUUAGUCUAAAAGGAGCCAUAAUGAGGGCAUUUCAGACCUCUGUCAGCAGAACACCCAUGGGUAUUUGGGGGCUUCAUGCUUGUAAAGGUUUUUUGAGUGACUAAUAGCCAACCGAGGAAAAGUUUUCCUCUCUUAACCAAGUAAAUAAGACCAUUCAUACCACAAGAGGUGGAGGGAAGGGGGGGAGUUUGCACAAAACAUAAAAAAUUGUUGACCCUGGCAAGGUAAGAACAGAAGUAGCAUCACAUCUGUUCAGAUAGCUAAUACUUACUAAGCAGUGCCCACGUACCAGGAUCUAACCUAAGCUCUUGACAUAUGCAAGUUCCUGAACGCUCACCCCCGACCUUAUGAGGUUGGACCUAUUCCUCUCUCCAUUUUGUGGAUGAGGACAUUGAAACCUAAUGCCACACAGCGAGGAAGUACCCAGAUCUGUCCAACUCCAGAUCUGUCCUGAACCUUCACUACCACAAAACAGCUGCUCAGCUGGCUCACUGUGUGAUUGGGGCAAAUUCCUCAACCUCUCUCAGCCUCAGAUUCUUCACCUAUAAAUUGUUCCUUAUUCAAACCACCCUGUGCUAGGUGCUAGAAUUAAUUCUUUAUAAAUGUUAAUUCUUUGCUUGAGCCCUCACGACAGCCCGGGGAGAGAGAAAAUGUGGCAGAAACAAUGCUUUGGGUUCUCCAACCUAUUCCCUCUUCCUGUGCACACAGGAAGGGCACAGCCUCAACCUUGCUUGCAGUCCUGGGCAAAGCAAGACUGUGUGAGCCUCUUGAUUUCUGGGUUCCCUUUCUACAUGCGUAAGACUCAAAAACAGAUUCCAGGAAGGCGUGAGGGAGUUGUUGCUUGGAAGAGAGGUGCCUUCCAAAAGAGAUGGGUUAGGAGAGCUCUGCCCUUUAUCGGAGUUUGUGUGAGUGAGAAAUAAACUCCAACUGGGUUAGGCCACUAAGAUUUUUGGUUUGUUACGUUAAUUACACUGAAUAAAACUGUAUACCUGGGCACCUGGCUGACUCAGUGGGAAGAACAUGCAACUCUUUAUCUCGGGGUCAUGAGUUCAAGCCCCACACCAUGUGUAGAGAUUACUUAAAUAAAUAAAUAAACUUUAAAAAAAAAAAAAAACCCUGUAUACCAGUUAUUAAUUGCCACAGCAAUGCUGCAUAACGGAUCACCCCAACCUUAGUGCCUUAAAACAGCAACCAUUUAUUUAGCUCAUGAUUUCACCGAUGGGCAGUUUGGGCUGAGCCUAGCUAAAGGUUCUUCUGGUCUCAGUUGGGCUUACACAUCCAUCUGUGGUCAGCCGGGGGAUCAGCCGGUGACUGAUGAGCACAGCCACAGCUCAGACAACUCGUUCCUGUUCCAGUGGUCUU